GUAAGCCCCUCUGCAGCGUGCCGUGAUUUAGCCUGUAAUAGUUUUCUGUAAUCUCUUUCUAUUGAUUAAACCUCACAUCAAAGAGGAGUCUUGCUAGAGAACCUCUCUUUUCCUGCUCAGAAAUACCAUAUGGAGACAGGUAUGUGUCAGAGAGAAGCCCAGCAAGCAGUGCUAUGAAAGGAGGAUACACGUUGGAGGAGCGGACCGGUCAACAAGGCCAGCAGACCAGCUGAGCUCUGUCAUAGAGAGCGGAGAGGCAGAGACUGGGACUCCAGAGCACAGCCACAGAGCCUUGACUAGACCGAGGACCCUGAGUCUGUCCCUGUGGACGCCACCUGUGUUGAGGAAGUUCAUAAAGUUUUAUGAUCUCCUAAAAGCUAAUUUCCUCAUAAAGCGCACAAAGGUCACAAAUCUAUCAACGAGGUUUCCUCAUUAGUUUUUUUUUUCCUAAUUAUUCAAACCCUUAAAAAAAUACUAUACAAGCCCCUGCAGAUUUUACAGGAAUUUUAUUUUUUAACCUAAAGAAUUAAACAUGUAAAGAAAAGCUUUUUCACCAUGAUUAAUGGAAGAAACAAAACGUAUUCAGUAGAAUAUCAAGAAACAAAGUUCAUAUAAUUUCUUUAAUCUAUUAAUAUUAAACAUUAUAGAAGGUCUUUAUAGACUAAUUUUAUAAAAGGCAUUAUGAAAAGUUUUAAUUUUCUAAAAGUUUCUAAAAUUGAGCUAUCGUUUCACUUGUGUGUAUCUCCUUUUAAAGAAUGUAUUUUUCUAUUUCUUCUUUGCUGUUCGAAUAUUACCAGACUUAACAUAUUUUAUUAUAUAUUUUAUUUCUUUUUUUUCUGCAAAUUGAUUUCAAAAUAUCUGCUGUCUAUUUUGUUUUUCUACAAAUCAAGGAGGCUUUAAGCGCUAUAAUUACAGACAGACUGUAGCCCGCUUGAAAGCGUGGGAUUGUUUUCAUGUUAUAAAACAUGAAUUUCUCUGUGAUCUUAGCUGUGUAGAGCAUAUGCUGCGGGAUUUCCCCGUCCUGUUCUGUGCCAGGAUAGGGAAACACGCUUUCUGCUCAAAAGAUAAGACAUUCCUACAGGAACUAAAGCAUCUCCAGUGGAAAGUGACAACAAUUGUUGUUUCCACUUGACACUUAGUGACAAACUUAAAAAGGUGAUUGAUUAAUUUGUGCAGACCUCCCCUCACCUCUCACCUAUCCAUGCAAUCUAAACCCGCACAGUGCUUUUAAAAUGACUGGUUGCAUUUUUUUCUCUUCAUUCAAUAUAUAUGUAUAUAUAUUUUUUUUACACAUGGACAUUUGUUUACUUGAGCAUGAAAAUCUUACCUGUCUUUUCUUUGAUUUCACACAGAACGCUGAAGAGUGCUGGUUUCAUUCUGUGACAGUUCAGUCCAUGUUUCCUGUUUCAGUAUAAGAAAAAAUAAAACACUCAAAUAAGGUCACUAAUAAAAACAUGAUAAAUAUGAACAGGUAACAGCCUCCAAACACUUCUCAUCUCACACUGCAAAAACCAUCUAAAAAUAAGAAAGAAUUUCCUAAAUUAAGUGUAUUUACCAUUAAUUAGAGCAGGUAAACAAGAUAAUUUGCCAAUUG